rnacentral:rRNA from 1 species
CAGCAGCCGCGGUAAUACGUAGGUGGCAAGCGUUGUCCGGAAUUAUUGGGCGUAAAGGGCUCGCAGGCGGCUUCUUAAGUCUGAUGUGAAAGCCCCCGGCUCAACCGGGGAGGGUCAUUGGAAACUGGGAAACUUGAGUGCAGAAGAGGAGAGUGGAAUUCCACGUGUAGCGGUGAAAUGCGUAGAGAUGUGGAGGAACACCAGUGGCGAAGGCGACUCUCUGGUCUGUAACUGACGCUGAGGAGCGAAAGCGUGGGGAGCGAACAGGAUUAGAUACCCCAGUAGUCCCUGUCUCUUAUAC